ACCGCUGAGCCACCCGGGGUGCCUGAAUGUUGGUUUUCAAAAUACAGAAAUGGGGAAUGGAUUCAUGCUUAUGUUAGCAGCCGUCGUAACGCACACUGUUAUUUUUUGACAAACAAAGGAAUUGAGACACACACUGUUCUCUUUCAGCGCCCAGCACGGGUGGCCCAGAGCCCGGGGGUUGCUGUGCCUCACCGCGGGGAAGCGACCCAGAGGGGCCGCGGGUUUGGGGCUGGCCUUGCAAAUACGGUUCCGCGGCCCUCCUCACACGGGCCCCCUAACCCGGCAGGUGCCCCCGGGGAGCCCUCCUCACACGGGCCCCCUAACCCGGCAGGUGCCCCCGGGGAGCCCUCCUCACACGGGCCCCCUAACCCGGCAGGUGCCCUUGGGGAGCCCUCAUCAGAUGGGCCCCCUAACCCGGCAGGUGCCCCCAGGGAGCCCUCAUCAGAUGGGCCCCCUAACCCGGCAGGUGCCUCCGGGGAGCCCUCCUCAGAUGGACCCCCUAACCCGGCAGGUGCCCCCGGGGAGCCCUCCUCACACAGGCCCCCUAACCCGGCAGGUGCCCCCGGGGAGCCCUCAUCAGAUGGGCCCCCUAACCCGGCAGGUGCCCCCGGGGAGCCCUCCUCAGAUGGACCCCCUAACCUGGCGGGUGCCCCAGGGAGCCUCAGGGAGCAAAUGAGCAAACGCACAACCAGCUGCGCAACCAGCCUUCCGCAGGACGACAGGAUCUGCGCUCACCAGGGGAUGGCGACAGCACCGUGCACCGCGGGACUUCGGCUCUGUCGCCUCCCCACCUCCCUUGACUCACUCCGACCUCUGCUUCUGGAGGAAAUGUCUGUGCUCCUUAGGGCCUCCAUCCUCCCUGCGUGGGGUCAGGGACCAGCCCGUCGCUACAGCACCGGGGCGGGCAAGGAGGCGACCCUCCCGGCGUCCCUGCCCCAUCACGACAGCACGUUGUCCCACGACCUGGGAGCCACGACGGUCAUCACAGGAGGACGCAGGCCGGUGGGGCGCGGUGCCGUCUGA
rnacentral:lncRNA from 1 species